rnacentral:rRNA from 1 species
AGCGGCGGAUGGGUGAGUAACACGUGGGGAACCUGCCCCUAAGUCUGGGAUACCAUUUGGAAACAGGUGCUAAUACCGGAUAAUAAAGCAGAUCGCAUGAUCAGCUUUUGAAAGGCGGCGUAAGCUGUCGCUAAGGGAUGGCCCCGCGGUGCAUUAGCUAGUUGGUAAGGUAACGGCUUACCAAGGCGACGAUGCAUAGCCGAGUUGAGAGACUGAUCGGCCACAUUGGGACUGAGACGCGGCCCAAACUCCUACGGGAGGCAGCAGUAGGGAAUCUUCCACAAUGGACGCAAGUCUGAUGGAGCAACGCCGCGUGAGUGAAGAAGGUUUUCGGAUCGUAAAGCUCUGUUGUUGGUGAAGAAGGAUAGAGGUAGUAACUGGCCUUUAUUUGACGGUAAUCAACCAGAAAGUCACGGCUAACUACGUGCCAGCAGCCGCGGUAAUACGUAGGUGGCAAGCGUUGUCCGGAUUUAUUGGGCGUAAAGCGAGCGCAGGCGGAAAAAUAAGUCUAAUGUGAAAGCCCUCGGCUUAACCGAGGAACUGCAUCGGAAACUGUUUUUCUUGAGUGCAGAAGAGGAGAGUGGAACUCCAUGUGUAGCGGUGGAAUGCGUAGAUAUAUGGAAGAACACCAGUGGCGAAGGCGGCUCUCUGGUCUGCAACUGACGCUGAGGCUCGAAAGCAUGGGUAGCGAACAGGAUUAGAUACCCUGGUAGUCCAUGCCGUAAACGAUGAGUGCUAAGUGU